CUCGGGCCGCGCAGGAGCCCACGGCGGGGGCGAGGCUCAGGCAUGGCGGGCUGCAGGUCCCGAGCCGUACCCCGCGGGGAGGCAGCUAAGGCCCGGCGAGAAGUCGAGCACAGCAGCUGCUGGACCGGGUGCUAAGCCCCUCACUGCCCCGGGCGCGGGGCCGGCUGGCCGCUCCGAGUGCUGGGCCUGGGAGGCCACGCCCACCCGGAACUUGCCCUAGUCCGCAAGCGCAGCGUGCAGCCUGGGUUCCCGCCCGCGCCUCUCCCGCCACACCUCCCUGCAAGCUGAGGGAGCCGGCUCCUGCCUUGGCCAGGCUAGAAAGGGGCUCCCACAGUGCAGGGGCGGGCUGAAGGGCUCCUCAAGUGCCACCAAAGUGGGAGCCCAGGCAGAGGAGGUGCCGAGAGCGAGCGAGGGCUGCGAGGACUGCCAGCAGCUGUCACCUCUCGUUACCAUCACUCCUAGUGACCAUUUCGGAUAAUCCACCUUGCCUCAUCAAACCAGAAAACAAUUCAAACCUGGCCUCCUUCUAACUGGAAGCCACAUUUUAAGAACUUAUUGUGAAGAACUGGAAAGCCUCCAAUAGAACAGAAGCUAAAAGCAGAAAUUAUAAAAGCUGUUACACCUACUCAGCUCUAUUACAUGUUGGAAAAACUGAACCAGAGAAACAAUUACAUACACUCUUGUCUUCUGGAAAAGCUGAAUUGGGUUUUGGUCUGAAUCAAUAGGACCCAUUAUACAGGCUGCCUUUCCAGCUCUCCAAUCAUACUUCCAAGAAAACUGCUCACUCUCAGAACCAAGGUUCAAGUUGUACAUUGGGAUUUGGGUAGAGGCUAUAUAUACAGUGAUGCCCAUCUACCCCUGAGAUCUAAAAAUCUAAGAUGAAAACGAGCACACAGUCUUGGCAGCAUUGGGGUAACAGACUAUGAAAGAAGAAAUCAGAUUGGAAAAUUCAGUAUAUCAAUGAAGAAAAUAAUCACUCAAGGAGAGGAAUAAACAGCAAAACAAUCUAUAUAUUUAAUUAUAGAUACAAUUGUUUCAAUGCUGAUUAUUCAUCCUUAUAUAACUGUCUACAGCUAUUUAGGGUUGUCUUCAUCCAUUUUGUGUUGCCAUUGCAGAAUACGUGAAACUGGGUAAUUUGUAAAGAAAAGAGAUUUUUUAACUUAUGGGUUCUGCAGGAUGGGAAGUUCAAGAAACAUGACACCAGCAUCUGCUUGGUUUCUGUUGAGGACUUUCAUGCUUAUAUCACAACAUGGCAGAAGGUUAAAGGGGGAGUAGACAUGUGCAAAUAGGCAAAACCUGAGGGGCAUCUUGGCUUUAUAACAACCCACUCUUGGAGGACUAAUUCAUUCUUGAGAGAACUAAUCUGGUCUUGCCAGAGAAAAAAUUCACUCACUGCCUACUGUGAGAAUAGCACUAAGCCAUCCAUGAGAGUGGAGCCCCAUCACUCAAACACCUCCCAUUAGGCUCUACAGCUUACAGAUUAUACCUCCUAACAUUGCCACAGUGGGAAACAAAUUUCAAGAUGAGAUUUGGUGGGGACAGACCAUAUCUAAACAAAGAGUAAACAAGGGUAAACAACUUUUGAGAACAUACUUGUGAUCCUUUAUUUCAACCCAGAAUGAUGCCAGAAUUUUGGAGAUGGGGCUCAGAGCAAAUCAGUAAGUUACAAUUCUCAAGUUUCACAGGGAAGUGGGAGUGAGAGACACAUCAUGGAGGACCACGCGACUCUCAGUUACACUGGGUGAAUUGUCUUCAUUGAAUUCCCGCACCAUGCAGACUCAUUUAACGGUAGUUCUUCCAAAGCUGCUUUUCUGCUUUGCUUUUGGAAUACUACUUUAUCUAAAUUUUCAUCUACCCUUUCAAUUCCUAUGCUUCUUGUGUUGAUUUCUCUUUUCCGACUUCUCAGAUUUUUAAUCUCAUUUUUAAACAUGAGAAUUCUCUGAGGUCUAUUUCUUGACCCUUUGUCCUCUUUUUAACUAUCCCUUGGGAAACUUGCACAAUCUAAAUGACUAACUAGAACUUAUGAGAUUAUGAGCCAGAUCUCUCCCUGCUUAUGAGCCCAUUUCAAUUAGAUGUCUCAGCAUCAUUGUAAGUUAAAAUGCAUAAAAUCCAAAACAAUAAAUUUUUCUCAAACCAAUGUUAUAUCUGAAAUGGUUAUUUCAAUGACUUUAAUGACUUUCAAUAACUUCAAUGACCUUAGCUUCUUUCUGUUCUUUCCACAAGCUAGUGCUUUAAUUUUUUAAGAAUAAACUUAACAGAUGAAAUGAUAAAGACAUAAUUUUUAUGUUGUGUUAUACUCUUGAUGGAAAUAUUUCCAAAUCUUUUGAAUGAAGAGCUUUGAAGAAAAACCUG
rnacentral:lncRNA from 1 species